rnacentral:rRNA from 1 species
UACGUAGGUGGCAAGCGUUGUCCGGAUUUAUUGGGUUUAAAGGGUGCGUAGGCGGUCAAUUAAGUCAGGGGUGAAAUACGGCAGCUUAACUGUCGAGGUGCCAUUGAUACUGGUUGACUUGAGUACUGAUGAGGUAGGCGGAAUGGACGGUGUAGCGGUGAAAUGCUUAGAGAUCGUCCAGAACACCGAUAGCGAAGGCAGCUUACUAAGGAGUAACUGACGCUGAGGCACGAAAGUGUGGGGAUCAAACAGG